GAUGAACGCUGGCGGCGUGCCUAAUACAUGCAAGUCGAGCGAAUGGAUUAAGAGCUUGCUCUUAUGAAGUUAGCGGCGGACGGGUGAGUAACACGUGGGUAACCUGCCCAUAAGACUGGGAUAACUCCGGGAAACCGGGGCUAAUACCGGAUAACAUUUUGAACCGCAUGGUUCGAAAUUGAAAGGCGGCUUCGGCUGUCACUUAUGGAUGGACCCGCGUCGCAUUAGCUAGUUGGUGAGGGAACGGCUCACCAAGGCAACGAUGCGUAGCCGACCGGAGAGGGUGAUCGGCAACCCUGGGACUGAGACACGGCCCAGACUCCUACGGGAGGCAGCAGUAGGGAAUCUUCCGCAAUGGACGAAAGUCUGACGGAGCAACGCCGCGUGAGUGAGGAAGGCUUUCGGGUCGUAAAACUCUGUUGUUAGGGAAGAACAAGUGCUAGUUGAAUAAGCUGGCACCUUGACGGUACCUAACCAGAAAGCCACGGCUAACUACGUGCCAGCCGCCGCGGUAA
rnacentral:rRNA from 1 species